AUAUGCAAGAUAUGCAAGAUACAUGCAAAACUGGAGUCAGAGGUUUGAUCUUCCACCAAGCACCACCGCCCACUUCAAGAUAUAUCUUCGAUCAGCUCUAUAACAGACUACUGGACUGUGGAUGUGUCAGACUAUAUAAUACUAUGGCAAUGUGGGCUCGAGCAGUGUGGCUGGAGGACAAUGAAGAGCAGGAGGGUGUUAUACCACAGAAGUGGAUACAGAAUCAAAUGGUCCAUUGGCCACCUGGUGUUAAUGCUGCCCCCGCUAUGGCUGAAAUGAGAGAUCCAACACCAUCUUGGAGAAAGUUCACACUUGUGAAAGUAAAAAUUGCUUCUGGUG